AGUGGCGGACGGGUGAGUAACACGUAAGAAUUUGCCUUUAGGAGGGGGAUAACAAUUGGAAACGGUUGCUAAUACCCCAUAGGCUUUAGAGUGAAAUGGAAUUUUUCCGCCUAAAGAGAAGCUUGCGGCUGAUUAGCUUGUUGGUAAGGUAAUGGCUUACCAAGGCGACGAUCAGUAUCUGGUUUGAGAGGAUGAUCAGACACACUGGAACUGAGACACGGUCCAGACUCCUACGGGAGGCAGCAGUGGGGAAUUUUCCGCAAUGGGCGCAAGCCUGACGGAGCAAUACUGCGUGAGGGAUGACGGCCUAUGGGUUGUAAACCUCUUUUUUCAGGGAGGAACAAAAUGACGUGUACCUGAAGAAUAAGCAUCGGCUAACUCCGUGCCAGCAGCCGCGGUAAGACGGAGGAUGCUAGUGUUAUCCGGAAUCACUGGGCGUAAAGCGUCUGUAGGUGGUUUGGUAAGUCAACUGUUAAAUCUUGAAGCUCAACUUCAAAACCGCAGUCGAAACUACUAGACUAGAGUAUAGUAGGGGUAAAGGGAAUUUCCAGUGGAGCGGUGAAAUGCGUAGAGAUUGGAAAGAACACCGAUGGCGAAAGCACUUUACUGGGCUAUAACUAACGCUCAGAGACGAAAGCUAGGGUAGCAAAUGGGAUUAGAUACCCCAGUAGUCCUAGCUGUAAACAAUGGAUACUAGAUGUUGAACAGAUCGACCUGUGCAGUAUUAAAGCUAACGCGUUAA
rnacentral:rRNA from 1 species